rnacentral:rRNA from 1 species
AAGAGAGAGUUCAAGAGUACGUGAAACCGUUCAGGGGUAAACCUAAGAAACCCAAAAAGAUCGAACGGGGAGAUUCAUCGUCAGCGACACCGGCUUCGCGUCGGUGGGCGAUGUCCCGCGGUUUCUCGCGCGGGCACGCUACCGUGCGCGCAUGACCGGCUUCGUCGUCGUGCACUUCUCCCCUAGUAGAACGUCGCGACCCGCUGGGUGUCGGUCUACGGCCCGGGUGAGGUGACUGUCGCGUCGCCGGUAAAACGGCACGCGGCAAACCCUCGGACGCCCGGCCGGCUGCCCGGCGGUACUCGCACGGUAUCAGGCCGCAGUUUGUCUGCGUCAAGCCCGUCGCAAGCGCGCGCCACGGUUACUCGGAGGUACGGACCUGGCGCCGUCCCCGGUCCUGGUCCGCUGUUGGCCGACGGUGAUCCUUUGACAGGCCUUACGGGGCGACGUGGGGGGCUUUCGCCGUUCCACGUCCGCCCUAAUACCGGUCGGCGACGCUACUGCUUU